rnacentral:rRNA from 1 species
UACGGAGGGGGCGAGCGUUAUUCGGAAUUAUUGGGCGUAAAGGGCGCGUAGGCGGCUGUACAAGUCAAAGGUGAAAUCCCUCGGCUCAACUGAGGAACUGCCUUUGAAACUGUACGGCUUGAGGCCGGGAGGGGGUAGCGGAAUUCCCAGUGUAGCGGUGAAAUGCGUAGAUAUCAGGAGGAACACCAAUAGCGAAGGCAGCUCGCUGGGACGUUACUGACACUGAGGCGCGAAAGCGUGGGGAGCGAACAGG